rnacentral:lncRNA from 1 species
GGAAAACGUCUAGACAUUUUGAGCGUUUGCAGCCAAAUCACGAAAAUGAACCAAAACUAUGCGUGAGGGAAGUGUGAUCGAACCGCCGCCUUCUUCCUCAACAAUCGACCACCACCCGCCAUCUAGACCACCAGACCUCACUACCAUUCAAACCCUCUCGCCUCCCUCUUCAACCUCUUGUCAUCACCUAGCCACGGAGUUGCCGAAAACAACCCCAAUCACCCUCCCCCCCAAAACCGCGCUAACAGUCACCGUUUUCGCCAUAUUUCGACCGUCUUAAGCCACCGUUUCGAUCGCGGACCUUCACCACUCCACUCAACCAAGCGCAUCCAGUACCACCAUGGGUCACCUACAAUUUUGUCCAAAAUCGAAUGUGCUUGUGAAAGCAAUCCGUGGGUUGUGAAAUAGAUUCAGUCCCAACAAAAUUGAUGAAAUUUUAUUGAUGGGUAAGCAUUUCUUUUUUGUUAAUUCUUUAUGGGUAAAUUUUAAUGGUUUGCAAAUUCACAUUCUAAUACUUCGUCUCUCCCCUGUCCCUGCAUUCUCUCUUCUCUUAUCGUAAGAAUUUUUCAUUUUUUCUCUUCAAAUUUCUGCCCCACUAUACAUAUAUACACAUAUGUAUAUACAGAUAGAGAUAUAGAGUUGUGGAAUUGGCAAUGGGAUUUUCGAAGAAAUGUGUGUCUCUUUGUUCUUUGCUGCUGUUAAUGCUCUUCAUUAACGUCGUAGCCAGAGACCCAAAAUAUGAAUGUUGUGGAAUUGUUGCUGUUAUUGGAAUUUUCUGCAUUUUGUCUGUGCAAUGCAUUCUCACAGUUUGAAAUUUGUUGUCUUAAUCGAGUGUGAGUGUAUCCACUUUAUGCAUUUGUUUAGGAUUCUUAUGUUCCCUGCCUUAUUUGAUAUAUAGGUAAAGAUUUUGAGAAGGUUUGUGAGAUGUGUUAUGUAACUCUCAAUAUGUUGAAGCUUGAGGAUGAUUCAGCUGCAACGUUGGCAGGGAGCAAGCCAUGUGGACUUACAAGUACAGCUCAGCUGGAGUGUUGGCAAGAGGCAAAACCAUGUGAAUUUUGUAACGAAGCAACAGAUGCAUCGUCUAGAAGGAAAUAGUUAGAAUUUUGCUUGUUGAGCAAGUUGGUUUAUUCUGCAUUUAUCUGUGUAAAUUAGUUAGGGAGAGAUUCUUUUUAUGCACUUGCUAUUUAUAUUUCCACUGCUUUGUAUUCAUUUCUUUAUUGAAUCAAAUUGUUGGAAAUUAUCUAAGUCUAUGCAUUGUUAGAAUGUGCUGUGAUUUGGAUAAAUGUAGUUUGAUUUGGAAUGCCAUGCUUUUGAACUUUCUUGUUCUUUCUCAUUCAUUUUCCUAAUCAAUGUGAUUGGAAUGCCAUGCCACGAUUUGGAUUAA